UGUUAUAGAUCAAUAAUGGUGCAUUCUUGGAUAACACACUGUUUGUUGAUUAUUGAAAUAGUCGUGUGUCAUAAUAAAGUUUUUUUUCCUGUUUGGUUGCAUGCAUGUGCAUGGAUGCUUCCUUUGGACUUCAUGCAAGUGUUUUGCCCCUCAUCAUGAUUGGCUGACGAGGAGAGCACUUCUGCUCGGAAGGUUGAGUUUCUCUUGAAGUCAAAACCACCAAGUAAUAUAAUGGAAGGCCAUGAUAUCAGACAGUUCUAAGUCAUGGAUUAAUGCAAUGGGUGAGCAGGAAAAGUUAUUCUCUUCUUUGUUGGAACAUUUCCUAAGAUGCUCUAAGUGGGAAUGCAUAUGCUAAACCUGGCGUUUGGACCGGCACCCUCGCG